CUCGGCUAUCACCUCUGCCAGUUCCCUUAGCACUCUCGGGAGGUUUUCUCCUGGAGCCUCAAGAAUAGCUCCCUAUUCAUCCACGCCAGUCUUCUUCCGUACCGGCUCAUUUUGCAGCUCAGGGAGACAACCUGCUCCUGCGCCUUCCCUCUUGAAGAGCAACCAGCCAUCUUGGAUCCCUUUACUCUCUAAGACUGAAUCCCAGGAGACUCCCCCUACUAGUCUUCUGAACAAUUCCAAGUCCACCCUCCAGAAAUCCAAGGUAUUUGUUUCCUGGGAGUAAUUAUCCACAAAUCUGCCAAAACUGUGGAAAGUGAGAAUGUUCUGAUGCUUCAAGUGUGCACUUGCAUCCCAGAAGGCCAAUCGUAUCCUUGUUUCCAUCAGAAGAUGCAUACCCGGCAGAGUGAGGAAGUUGAUUGUUCCCCUCUAUUCUGCCCUUGUGAGGCCCCGUCUAGAG